rnacentral:rRNA from 1 species
GACGAACGCUGGCGGCGUGCCUAAUACAUGCAAGUAGGACGCAGUUGCGAACGGGUGAGUAACGCGUAGGUAACUACCUAUUAGAGGGGGAUAACUAUUGGAAACGAUAGCUAUACCGCCUACUAGUAGAUGGGCCUGCGUUGUAUUUGCUAGUAGGUAGGGUAAUGGCCUACCAAGGCAACGAAACAUAGCCGAACUGAGAGGGGGAUCGGCCACACUGGGACUGAGACACGGCCCAGACUCCUACGGGAGGCAGCAGUAGGGAAUCUUCGGCAAUGGGGGGAACCCUGACCGAGCAACGCCGCGUGAGUGAAGAAGGUUUUCGGAUCGUAAAGCUCUGUUGUUAAGGAAGCGGUACUUAACCAGAAAGGGACGGCUAACUACGUGCCAGCCGCCGCGGUAAUUC